CCCGUUUCAACACUAGGCAGAGGCCCCAGUCCUGCCACCCGCAGGCUGGUACACUGGUGGUCAGAGAAGGUUAAGCUCCAGAGUUCCAUGGCUCCCAACCUUCCUAGAGCCCUCCCUCCUGCCUGGUAACCCACCAUUGCGCUGCGUCUUGCCCAGGUGUCCUGGUGGGCAGGGGCAGGAGUUAAAGGUGGUGCCAGGAACAAGAGGUCCUUCCUAUAUUCCUUUCAGGGGACGUGGCUUCUAGGGAGCCUCCGCAGCCCAAAGAGAAUGCUGAAAUGCAGAGUGCCAGAAGGAGGCAUUUGAAGGAGGCGCGGAUGAGUGGAACCAGUACUAUCACCUGAAUUCCAUCCCCGUCUUCAUGUCUGCAGCCCCGCGAGACACACCUGAUGUUUCUUCCUUUAGGUCCCCAGAGCUGCAAGGCUGUGGUCUGGAACACUCAGAAACGGGCACUGUUCAUUUCUCCCAUCUAGCAGAACUUCUCAACUUGGAAGAACAUGCCACCACACUUUAAUAAAGCAGCUUACCUUUCCGGAGUCCUUUCCUGAAUAAAGCAGUUUCCCAUCUAAGCCAUUAGGUUGAGCAGAUACUAUUAGACCCAUUUGAGGUGGAGAGUCAUUGAUCCCAUUUAUCAAAUGAAGAAAUUGAAGUUUAAAAAGGGUAAUUGAGAUUGUGUAGCCACCCAAUGUGCAGGAGUAGCCUGAAGCUCGGGUUCCCUGCCUCUAAGUCACUGCUCUUUCACUUGCCCAGCCUCUGGAUUGACUUUUGAGGCAGAUUUUGUUUUGACGAGAGAACACCUGCCUGGGCUGCAGCCAGG
rnacentral:lncRNA from 10 species